rnacentral:lncRNA from 10 species
AGGAUUACAGGUUUGAGCCACCGCACCCAGCCUCCUGCUAUUUUCAAAGGAAAUCUGUUCCUCUCUUAGCAAUGGUAUAGGGAUAGAAGAUUGUCCAUAAAGCCCCAGUGUCACUGCCACACAUAAUCGGACAUAACAUGGUUGGCUCAUUAGCAUUUACAUGUCUCCAUUUCAACAUGACCACUUGACACUAAGUGUUUGUCCCGUUAGAAAUGUCAGAGAGUUGUCAGGUUUUGACUGAAUUUGGUAAAUGACUACUGUAUCUCUAGUGCCCCAAAUUGGCUCAGAAAGCCUUUCUUCUGUUAGGACUUACAUGUUGCUUUUCCUGUUUUGGGAUGCUGUGGCCAGAGCUGUAGCCAACAUAUACCUUAACUUUGUUUUGGACUUUUGUGCAUUCUAUUGAAACAAAAUGGCAAGUAAAAUAUUUUUAUAUGAGCAUAUUUCUGUCAUGUUUAAUGGAUUCUAAUAAAGUUAGGUACAUGGGUGAAUUGAUGAGAAAAUGGCUCCUCUUGCCAGCUCAAAAAAUGCAUAUUGCCAAUUUAAUUUCUACAUGGUAAAAUCAGCUACAUGAGGUUUGAAUAAGGUCCAGCACUUGGAGAACUUCAAUGAAUACUAAUAUAGCUUCCAGAUAGCCAAAAAACAUAAGUUUGAAAGACCUUUGCAAACAGUAAAGUGUUAUUUGAAAGGUGAGCUUUCCCAUUUGGGAGUCAGGUAUCAACAGGUCUUUUUCAACCCCAUUGAAAAAGAGUUGUUUCUAUACAUCAAGCUGUACAGAAAGGAAGCAGAAGGAUAUGUGAUUUAGUGAGGUUCUGCAAGUCAACUGCUACUGUGUGUGUGUGCGCACAUGCGUGUGUGUGUCUGUGUGUGUGUGUGUGUGUGUGUGUGUGCGUGCGCGCACGCAUGUAUGGUGUGUACCGCUAGGUCAGGAAUGAACUGGAGUUCUCUGAAGCCAGAGGUUCGCCAAGAAGCUUCCUAUGAUGUUU